UACGAGGGGGGCGAGCGUUGUUCGGAAUUAUUGGGCGUAAAGGGUGCGUAGGCGGUUCCGCAAGUCCUGUGUGAAAUCUUCGGGCUCAACUCGAAGUCUGCACGGGAAACUGCGGGGCUUGAGUGUGGGAGAGGUGAGUGGAAUUCCCGGUGUAGCGGUGAAAUGCGUAGAUAUCGGAAGGAACACCAGUGGCGAAAGCGGCUUCCUGGUCCAGCACCGACGUUCAGGCACGAAAGCGUGGGGAGCAAACAGG
rnacentral:rRNA from 1 species